GACGAACGCUGGCGGCGUGCCUAAUACAUGCAAGUUGAGCGCUGAAGGUUGGUACUUGUACCGACUGGAUGAGCAGCGAACGGGUGAGUAACGCGUGGGGAAUCUGCCUUUGAGCGGGGGACAACAUUUGGAAACGAAUGCUAAUACCGCAUAAAAACUUUAAACACAAGUUUUAAGUUUGAAAGAUGCAAUUGCAUCACUCAAAGAUGAUCCCGCGUUGUAUUAGCUAGUUGGUGAGGUAAAGGCUCACCAAGGCGAUGAUACAUAGCCGACCUGAGAGGGGGAUCGGCCACAUUGGGACUGAGACACGGCCCAAACUCCUACGGGAGGCAGCAGUAGGGAAUCUUCGGCGAUGGACGAAAGUCUGACCGAGCAACGCCGCGUGAGUGAAGAAGGGUUUCGGAUCGUAAAAAUCUGUUGGUAGAGAAGAACGUUGGUGAGAGUGGAAAGCUCAUCAAGUGACGGUAACUACCCAGAAAGGGACGGCUAACUACGUG
rnacentral:rRNA from 1 species